CCUACGGGAGGCAGUGGGGAAUAUUGGACAAUGGGCGAAAGCCUGAUCCAGCAAUGCCGCGUGAGUGAUGAAGGCCUUCGGGUCGUAAAGCUCUUUUACCAGGGAUGAUAAUGACAGUACCUGGAGAAUAAGCUCCGGCUAACUCCGUGCCAGCAGCCGCGGUAAUACGGAGGGAGCUAGCGUUGUUCGGAAUUACUGGGCGUAAAGAGUACGUAGGCGGUUAUUCAAGUCAGAGGUGAAAGCCCGGGGCUCAACCCCGGAACUGCCUUUGAAACUAGAUAGCUAGAGUCUUGGAGAGGUUAGUGGAAUUCCGAGUGUAGAGGUGAAAUUCGUAGAUAUUCGGAAGAACACCAGUGGCGAAGGCGACUAACUGGACAAGUACUGACGCUGAGGUACGAAAGCGUGGGGAGCAAACAGGAUUAGAUACCCUGGUAGUCCACGCCGUAAACGAUGAUAACUAGUUGUUCGGUCACUUGGUGACUGAGUGACGCAGCUAACGCAUUAAGUUAUCCGCCUGGGGAGUACGGUCGCAAGAUCAAAACUCAAAGGAAUUGACGGCNGAAGAGUGCGAGACGACACGAGGAGAGG
rnacentral:rRNA from 1 species